UACGAAGGGAGCUAGCGUUGCUCGGAAUCACUGGGCGUAAAGGGUGCGUAGGCGGGUCUUUAAGUCAGGGGUGAAAUCCUGGAGCUCAACUCCAGAACUGCCUUUGAUACUGAGGAUCUUGAGUACGGGAGAGGUGAGUGGAACUGCGAGUGUAGAGGUGAAAUUCGUAGAUAUUCGGAAGAACACCAGUGGCGAAGGCAGCGAACUGGCGCUCGAUUGACGCUCAGGCACGAAAGCAUGGGGAUCAAACAGG
rnacentral:rRNA from 1 species